rfam:Solirubrobacterales bacterium 67-14 SCNpilot_bf_inoc_scaffold_31, whole genome shotgun sequence.
UCCGGGAUGGUGUAAUCGGUAGCACACCGGUUUUUGGUACCGGCAGUGGAGGUUCGAGUCCUCCUCCCGGAG